rnacentral:rRNA from 1 species
CGCGGUGGAUGCCUAGGCGAUGAGAGGCGAAGAAGGACGUGGACAGCUGCGAUAAGCCAUGGGGAGCCGCUAACAGGCUUUGAUCCGUGGAUCUCCGAAUGGGGCAACCCACCCGCGCGAGAGCGCGAGGUACUCUCCGGCUGAAUUCAUAGGCUGGAGGGAGCGAACCCGGGGAAGUGAAACAUCUCAGUACCCGGUGGAAGAGAAAACAAGAGUGAUUCCCCUAGUAGCGGCGAGCGAACGGGGACGAUGGCCAAACCCGAGGUAGCGAUACCACGGGGGUUGUAGGGCCGGCGAUGUGGCACGCGGACGACGAGACGAACGACUUGGAACGGUCGGUCAGAGAGGGUGACAACCCCGUAGUCGAAGUCGAACGCGGCCUAGCUGGUACCUGAGUACCGCAAGACACGUGCAAUCUGGCGGGAACCU